rnacentral:rRNA from 1 species
GACGAACGCUGGCGGCGUGCUUAACACAUGCAAGUCGUACGGUAAGGCCCUUUCGGGGGUACACGAGUGGCGAACGGGUGCGUAACACGUGAGUAACCUGCCCACAACUUUGGGAUAACGCUAGGAAACUGGUGCUAAUACUGGAUAUGUGCUCCUGCUGCAUGGUGGGGGUUGGAAAGCUCCGGCGGUUGUGGAUGGACUCGCGGCCUAUCAGCUUGUUGGUGGGGUAGUGGCCUACCAAGGCGGCGACGGGUAGCCGGCCUGAGAGGGUGACCGGCCACAUUGGGACUGAGAUACGGCCCAGACACCGACUGGAGGCAGCAGUGGGGAAUAUUGCACAAGGGGCGCAAGCCUGAUGCAGCAACGCCGCGGGCGGGAUGACGGCCUUCGGGUUGUAAACCGCUUUCAGCAGGGACGGAGCUUUUUGUGACGGUACCUGCAGAAGAAGCACCGGCUAACUACGUG